UACUUCCACUGCUCAGUCCCAUCAACCCUUACUCAGUAAGAAGGACCUGUGGCUACAAGGUCCAGAACCAGAUUUCACAGAUUUGUUUUUGGGUAUUUGAUUUGCAAGCAAUGCAGUCAUCUCCUAUACUUCUGGCUCUGAUAAGAGACAGUAGCUCAGAUCACUCCAGAGAGGCCACACCGGUGCUGCAGUGGUAUUAAUGGUCUUUUGAGGACAUCAUGUCCAAGUCCUCCACCUGGCCAGAAAAAUAUUUUACAAGACAGUGUAAGAUUGGAGGAUAAUUAGAUUGCACUGAGAGAGUACCUUCACCUAUAACAUUAGGAUCACUAAGCAACAUGGCUGGUAGAUGUUGCUGUAUGGGACAACGUUAAAAAGGGAUCCUCAGACUUUUAGAUGUGGGUAAUCAUUGUCUGACUGGGUAAGAAUGGAACUCAGCUCCCUUCUCCCAUGCAAGCGGGAGAUAGGGAGCAAUCCCUGAGAUGGUCCAUCCCAACUAAUACAGGGGUGGUAGAUGGACAUAGAUAGGCAUGGCAGAUGCUUGUCCCCUGCUGCAGUUAGGGACUGUGAAAGCUGGAGCUUCAAAAAAAAUCCAGAGAAAGACAGAAAGAAAAGCCAGACAGCAGAUGUCCUAAAGGCUAAGAAUGGCAAACACCAGCAGGUAGAGCAGACUCUACCUCCUUUUAGCCCCCAAAUGCAGAAGACUUCUGGUAUCAGUUGCUUUGAGUCACAUGAGAGAAUGGAUGAGGAGCUGAUUAAGAAAAGUGCUUUUUAAAAGUUGUUCGAAUGUAGAGUUCCCAGCCGAUGUGGCAGAAAGCAAAGGACGUCAGCAAAUCUUAUUAAUAUGCUGAUGCUAUGGCUUCAGAAGUGUACAGAAUGCCCAUUUGGAUCAGGGCUAAGAGCACAGCAUGGAGUUGCUAUGGAGACGUGGGGAGGCCAUUAAUUAGCUCUCACAUGAAAUCAUCAGGAAGGGUCCGAACCACGGCAGCUCUGCCCUCCUCGGAAGCCAAGGGCACGGCCCUGCUGACCCCCAGCCUCCCCUCUGCAGCUCCAACAGCCGUGUCCUGGAGCAGACGUGUCCUGCAGGCAUCAGAGGCUUGGAUGAAAGCCCAUUGAAGACUAUUCGAAUUUUCUGACUGACUUCUGGAAGAUAUUGUUGAAAGGACAAAGCACUAAGUAUAACACAACUCAGCAACAGCUUUCUGCCUGGGGUUUGGGGAUGGGCUAAGUGACUUCUACUUAUCCUCUCGCUAGGCUUUAGUUUCUCUGACUCUCUGAAACUUGAGAAAACCAUCUCAGCACCAUUUUGAAGGACAAAGACCUGCCGAUUCCAGGAGGAAGCACAGAACAGUCCUUUGAAAGGGUCAUCUACUGAGAAGUAAACUUUCUUACAUACGUAGCUCUGAAUUUUGAAAGUAGCUCAGGGCAAAUGUGGGUAAUGUUGAAACUGGUUUAUUUCUGUCAGAAAGUUAGGCUUUUAGUUGAAGCUAGUCAUUUAAGCCGUAGAAAGAGAGGCUGUUGCCUUCGAAGGAUGAAUCAUGCACCCACUUUAGGCACUGCACAUUGGAAAAGGUGACUCACCCUCUGGAAAUGCCUCCCUUUCUCUCCACAGCCAUUAGAUGAAACCUGGAUCACCAGCUUAGACACCCCAACUUUUAAAUGGCUAAAACUAGGUACAAGUAAUCCUUCCUGAAGAAGACACAGAGAUUAACAUGCUUCCCAGAACAGCACUAGGAUGGAUAUCACACCACUGUUGUUCCAUCUGUAGGAUGCUUGAGGCAGGUGAAGGUCUUGCUGCCCAGCAGUGGGUCAGGCCAGAUUCAGGCUUAAUCUCAGCUGAGCUCUCCUGUGAAACAGCAGCCCUGCUUUCUGCUUGUAAUGUUAUAACAUAAAGGAAAGUACAGCAAUAAAAACAAGGCAGUAAAAUCCUAAGCUGCACCCUUGUCUCCCUCCUGCCAACCCUUAAAUGAGGUCUGGGAAGGGGUAGAUCCUGGCUCCACCCCUUCCACUCACUCAGGUGCAUUGCAUACACCUGAGCAUCCCUAGGUUGGCCCUGCCUUUCCACCAGGUGCUCAAUCACUGCUUCAGGCUGUGACUUAGCAUUUCUGUGACCGUGCUGUAGGGCAUAGAGCCCUCAGAGCCCAGGGUGUCUUCAAAAACCCUUUACCUCCUGUUCUCCACCAUGCCACUUGGACACCACACACAUGGGCUGUGAUGCCUUCUUUCCAUCCUGAGUUCACUAACUCUGUUCCAACAUCUCCAGCAAGUUUGGCUUGGUGUCUCUGAUACUACACCCCAAGAUCCUGUGAGCAGAUGGGAAUUGAGAACAGCGCUCAGCAGCAUUUCUCAGAUGUGCCUGCAGCUGGGCUGGCUGUGCCCAUCCCUGCUGUGUCAGCCUGGAAGCACCAGUCCAGCACUUGACAAUAUUCCUGGAGCACGGCCAAUUCUCUGAUGACAGCGCAUGAGAGCAGUGUUCACGUUUCCCAUUUCCACAAAGCCACGUGACAGAAAAGAAGUCAGGACUGGUACUUGCUUUUUCAUGCUCAGAGUUUCUCCCUUGCAUUCUGUUGAGGGCUGCAUCAUUAUAUUCAUUUAUAAAAGUGACCUGAAGACAAAUGCGCACAAGCCUUCUUGCCUUCCCAUUGCUAUCUUGGAGGCAAGGCUCCAGUUUUUAGCCAUAUGACACAGUGAGAUAAGCCUUACAAUAAAAAGCAAACAAUGCAAGGCCAGCCCCGGGCCUCCAAGUCGCGAUCUCCGUUUGUUCAGCAUUUUCCCAGAAGGUUGUUGGAGAUACCUGUGGGUACGGCUGAAUGCAGAGAGUCGACUUUGCAGAAGCAAAGAGCACAGCAUUCUGGGUUAUUAAACCAUUUGUCUUACAGCCCCGGGGAAAAUGAGUUUGCUACAGAAAGUCACUAAUGGACCGAGUUUCCUCAUCUCAAGCUUUCUUCUCUGCGUUUCGCAGCAUCCCCAGCUUGGCACCAUUGUAAGCAUGAGCACCAACUUGUGUUGAGAAGAGAGCAGAGACCGAGAAAUGCAAAAGAGGGAUGUGUCAGAAAAGCUAUUUUUGAAACUGUCUCUGGCUCUUGACUGCAUUAUCUCCAGAUCUCCCCUCGACUGCAUUUUUUCAUCGUUCAUGGUAGGUUGAAGGCAUUUUUCAGCACGGUGUUAAAAGAACAUUGCAAAUUCAUCAAGAAUUUCCCUCAUAAUUAACAAAACAGAAACAAAAACAGAGUUGAGACUGUCAAAAAAUUCAUUCUAGGAGUAAACUAUAUUCUCUAUGGCACAGUAAUACAAUAUGCUGUUAAAUUCUUUCACUCAGAAGGGAAUAAAGGAUAUUUGAGCAUAAAUGCAUUAUCCACAAUCCACAAUAGCACAGCCUAUCCCCCUGUGGAUAAUGCUAUUAGUGCUACAUUUCAAAUUAAAAAGCAUAUGCUCUUCUUUCAAAAACAAGGGAGUGCUGCCCACUUCCUUCACUUGACUAAAAACAAAAGCUUUUAAAGUGAUAAAACAGCAUUCAUUUGAUAAAAACAACCAUCUGCACCUGAUUUAGCUAAGUGUUGGCUUUUAAUGACAAAUUGCUGGUUGGGGAAAAAUUAAAUGCAAGCAUAAAGGUUGACUUGAUUUGACCACAAACUGGUUUCUGCUAUCCCCACCAGUCCUACCCCUAAUUCUGAUGCCAAAUUGUGACCUUAAAGAACAAAUUUCAAUCAAGGGCUCUUUGAAUCAUUUUACUUACAAUCCCACUAACAAUCAAGCUCCCAGGCUCACCUCCUCUCUUCUCAACCUAUUAGUCUGCAUUAGUUAAAGUGGGUUGCUUAUUAAGUUUUUUAUAUCUUCAGAAUAAUUUGGAAAGACACCAAGGUCUUAAUGUACCAGAUUUCCAUAACGCAACGUGAUAUUAACAAACAUCACACUCCAUCAAUGAUCUGUGCAGCAGGCAUCCUUAAAGCAUGUAAUUAAAAUAACAGAAGAUAACAUCAGCCACAAAAAAAAAGAAAAGAAAAGAAAGUGGAGGAGGGAACACAACUGUCGUUUUAUGAAGAGGCCACACUGAGAUCGCUCCUUUGAGGUUGGGACAUGGCAGCAACAUGGCAACAGGGAAAAUGUUGCUCUGAUAGUGCACCAAACUAAAGAGGGACAUAAUAUUGCAUGGAUCAUCCUCAGAACAACAGCAGCUAGCACAGUCAGAAUGGAAGAUGGGUGGUUGAGUAUAAAGGUGUUCCUUUAGGAAUAGUUAUGCAGACUUACAGAAAAAUCCUCAAGUGUUAUAACUAUUCCUUAGAUUUUUUCAAUCAAUGGGAAGCAACACCUGGCUGCUAAGAGUGCUUUUCCUUAGGAGACCUCAAAGGCUUUGCCAAGGAAGUCAAUGUUGGGUUCUGCACACAUUAAUCUCUCCUGGUGUUCCUAUGCCAUUCUGCCAGGCAUCCCCACACAGGUGGAUGUGCCAUGGUGGGACAGGAGGGGUACUAACAAAACAAUCAGCCCAGAAGCCAAAAUUGCCAUGUUUGCUCUUUGCGCUUUCCAAUAUCACCCAGAGUCCUCCACCUACUGGGCUACUUCCACUCUUGGAAGACCCCAGUCUUGGAGCAAAGUGGAAAGAGUACUUUCUUUCCAAAACGUUCCCAAAGACUGUGAGAAGUGCUGGUGGCUGUGCACACCACACCGCCCAAUCUCUUUUCACUGGUGGAUGGCUCGAUAUUUUCGUGCUGGGAAGUGUGGUUGUGCAUGUGUCUGCUGUUCCCGUUUCUAGCAUAGCUGAGUACAUCCAUACACAACGGAACAUGUAUAUUUAGCUGUUAAAAAAAAAUAUAUAAAUCCCAGCACAUCAUGAGAGCAAGUUUAUUUCCCACCAGAACGUUCCAUCCAUUUAGGCAAAACUUUCUGCAUUCCUAGACAGGAAGAGAGAAACCCAAAUAUAUAUUUUAAAUAACAUCGGAGAGAAGAGAUUACAAAGCGCUUUUCAGAUGCAUCAGUAACUUUGGGGUAAUAAAACCUCUUCUCCCUACUCUCAGCCCCUGGUAACAGGCAGAAUAGUAAACCAAUUUGUCACCGUUGCUCCCCAGUGCCAGGAUAAAAGUGUGUGCUGUUCCCACUCCUUUGCCAGAGGUCACUGGAUGCAAUGUCUCAAAGACUGUCUGAAGGAAAACAAGCGAGUGCAAACAUAACAAAUUGCAAGGAGGAAGCUCUGUCGUGACUGGGAUGAAGGUGGAGGGGGAUGAUAUCUUCUGGGGAAGGCAGGAAAAGAAAAAAAAAAAAGAUGUGCAUGGUUCAUCCAGCACAAACUACUUUAAUCACUUUGUGAGGGGCUGGCUGCUCUCAAGGACAAAUGGAUAAUACAUGUUUCGCUAGGGCCGAUAGUGAGAUAGUGAGUAUCUUUGAAUGUACUGAUACAGCAAUUAAGUGAACUGGUGUCCUUGGGCAGCUGCUGAGGUUUAGGAAAAGAGGAGGUUUAGACAGCGCUUCAAGUCUUUCCUCUGUGCAGCAGGGAUGCACAGACAACGUGCUACCAUGAGAGCUGGCAAGAGCAGAACGCCUUCUGGGGACAUCAUUCCCUCCUCCGGUGCUCUGCUUUGCGGCUGCAGAGCCCUGCUGCUGACCUGCUUGUUCCCUACCCUAACCUGUACCUUCACAGGGACUGAUGGAGGGACACUUUGGUGCCAUUCCCGUGUCAGACGUAAAGGUGCUCCUCAGGGAUGUACAGCAAUAAGAGAAACCAUGACCUUUUGUACCCUUGAGCUGCUGCGCAUUGCAACAAUUGAGCCAUAAAAUGUGCACCUGGGCUCACUUUCCUGUGCAGCUUGGACAGGUCUAAUUUAUGGGGUGAUAUAAACGAGAUCCUACUUCUGGUAUCCUUAGGUGCAUAGGGAUGGGUACAGCACUGCCCGUGUACACCAGCAGUGCAUGCACAGGGGAUCUCCAAAGACCUCUAGAGGAACAGCAGCAGAACAAAUGCCACUUUGUCUGACCACAGAAACUGGGACAUAAGCCCUGCUAAGCAAGAAGUCAUACCAGGCUUGAUAGCGAGAUGUACAAACCCAGUACCUGUCUCCUACCAGGAAUGGGCUGGGCACACACUGAGACAUCUGUUAGCUGAUGAGCAAUGGGUUGCAAGAGUUCCAUGAAGGAGUGAAGUAGACCACUUUCCUCCCAACUCUGACACGUCUGCAUGUGUGCAUUCACACUGAGCCGCUCUCCACGCUCAGGAUCACCCAGAGGGAAGUUACAUUGUACCUGUGCACUGCAGUGAUUAACUUCUAGCCAAAGGUUUAUUAGGCUAAUUUUGCUUCUUUCUAAUUUAUUAGACUCAUUUUGCCUUUCUGUGAAUUAUCCUCCUACAACUGAGAUCAUUAAUCCUUUGGAUUUAUUUGCCUCUUCUUUUUUUCCCCUGGAAUAUUUUUCUGUGUCUUAACUUACUUGAAUUGUAAGUUUCUGCAGGUUGUCUUUUUUGUUCUGUGUUUGCAGCCCAUCUAGCACUUUGACUGGGGGCACAGUGUCCCUCUGUGAGAUACGUG
ensembl:lncRNA